AGGGGAGUACUCAGUUUCCUUUGUUCUUUUAUGUUUCUUACACAUUGAGGACAAUGCAUGAUUUAGGUGUGGGGGUGCAUAAUUCUGAAUUUUUUAAUUUUUGCUUUAAUUUUCAGUUUGAAUUUUUAUUUUCAUUUUCAGUGUGAUUUUUUUCAAUUUUUCGUUUUGCUUUCAAUAACACAACACAGAUAGCCACAGUUUUUUUUUUAUUUAUUUUUGUUUCCGUUUCUGAGAUGCUUUACUCAAUCUCAUAAACUAUGUUGGAUGAGCUUUUCUUUCCAUGAC
rnacentral:lncRNA from 1 species